GUCAAUGGUUUGUUUACCACCCCGAGUAGUGAUUCCAUACAGUGUCCAUCAUUUUUGGAUUUUGGACAGUGUUGCACAAAAUAAUGAGGAGGUUCGAUGCUAGUGAUGAGCACAUUACAGAUUUAAGGAGUGAAGGAACAUAGGGACCAUUCCUAUCAUUUUUGUUACCAUAGUUACCCCUGUUGAAGUUUUUGUCGCGGUUGUAAUUUUCAUCUCGUACAUAAUGACCCUCACGGUUAUAUUUACCACAUAUCCGACCUUUGUUUCCUUGACCUUGGUGCCAAUUCUCCUGAUUUGAGCCUUGGACACUCGGUCGGAAACUCCCCGUCUGCUCAUUUAUCG
rnacentral:misc_RNA from 1 species